UACGGGAGGCGACAGUAGGGAAUCUUCCGCAAUGGACGCAAGUCUGCCGGCGCGCCGCCGCGUGUCGUGCCGCCGGCCUUCGGGUCGCAAUCCCUCUGUUGUUCGGGCCUCCCCAGUUCCUCGUCCUCACUGCUCGUACCUUGUCCGGUACCUUAACGCGGUCCGCCUCGGCUCACUCCGUGCCAGCAGCCGCGGUAAUC
rnacentral:rRNA from 1 species